UGGAACGGCCAUAGCGGUGUGGUUCUACCUGUUCCCAUUCCGAACACAGUCGUCAAGAACACCCACGUUUCAUGCUGUACUGCACUCUUGUGUGGGAAACAUGAUUAGCUGUUCCAU
rnacentral:rRNA from 1 species